rnacentral:rRNA from 1 species
UGAGUAACGCGUGGGUAACCUGCCUUAAGUCUGGGAUACCAUUUGGAAACAGAUGCUAAUACCGGAUAAAAGCUACUUUCGCAUGAAAGAAGUUUAAAAGGCGGCGUAAGCUGUCGCUAAAGGAUGGACCUGCGAUGCAUUAGCUAGUUGGUAGGGUAACGGCCUACCAAGGCGAUGAUGCAUAGCCGAGUUGAGAGACUGAUCGGCCACAUUGGGACUGAGACACGGCCCAAACUCCUACGGGAGGCAGCAGCC